AACGAACGCCGGCAGCAUGCCUAACACAUGCAAGUCGAACGAGACCUUCGGGUCUAGUGGCGCACGGGUGCGUAACGCGUGGGAACCUGCCCUUAGGUUCGGAAUAACUCCCCGAAAGGGGUGCUAAUACCGGAUAAUGUCUUCGGACCAAAGAUUUAUCGCCUUUGGAUGGGCCCGCGUUGGAUUAGCUAGUUGGUAGGGUAAAAGCCUACCAAGGCGACGAUCCAUAGCUGGUCUGAGAGGAUGAUCAGCCACACUGGGACUGAGACACGGCCCAGACUCCUACGGGAGGCAGCAGUGGGGAAUAUUGGACAAUGGGCGAAAGCCUGAUCCAGCAAUGCCGCGUGAGUGAUGAAGGCCUUAGGGUUGUAAAGCUCUUUUACCCGGGAUGAUAAUGACAGUACCGGGAGAAUAAGCUCCGGCUAACUCCGUG
rnacentral:rRNA from 1 species